AAGGAACAAUAACUUUCCAAUAUUAAGGUGGACAUAUAAGUCCCUUCGCACCUUAAGUUGGCCUCUUCGUGGGUUUGUCCUUAAAAGGAAUUAUAACUUUCCAAUCUUAAGGUAGACAUAUAAGUCCCUUCGCACCUUAAGUUGGCCUCUUCAUGGGUUUGUCCUUAAAAGGAACUAUAACUUUCCAAUAUUAAGGUGGACAUAUAAGUCCCUUCGCACCUUAAGUUGGCCUCUUCGUGGGUUUGUCCUUAAAAGGAACUAUAACUUUCCAAUCUUAAGGUGGACAUAUGAGUCCCUUCGCACCUUCAGUUGGCCUCGCCGAUAGUCGGGCCAUUUUGAGAGUAAUCUCUCCAAGAAUUGGGCCACAUUGAGAGUAAUCUCUCCAAGAAUUUGGCCAUUUUGAGAGUAAUAUCUCCAAGAAUCGGG
rnacentral:lncRNA from 1 species